UACCCUUGACAUGUACGGAAUCCUGCUGAGAGGUGGGAGUGCCAGAAAUGGAGCCGUAACAC
rnacentral:rRNA from 1 species